rnacentral:rRNA from 1 species
GACGAACGCUGGCGGCGUGCUUAACACAUGCAAGUCGAACGGAAAGGCCCUGCUUUUGUGGGGUGCUCGAGUGGCGAACGGGUGAGUAACACGUGAGUAACCUGUCCUUGACUUUGGGAUAACUUCAGGAAACUGGGGCUCAUACCGGAUAGGAGCUCCUGCUGCAUGGUGGGGGUUGGAAAGUUUCGGCGGUUGGGGAUGGACUCGCGGCUUAUCAGCUUGUUGGUGGGGUAGUGGCUUACCAAGGCUUUGACGGGUAGCCGGCCUGCGAGGGUGACCGGCCACAUUGGGACUGAGAUACGGCCCAGACUCCUACGGGAGGCAGCAGUGGGGAAUAUUGCACAAUGGGCGGAAGCCUGAUGCAGCAACGCCGCGUGCGGGAUGACGGCCUUCGGGUUGUAAACCGCUUUCGCCUGUGACGAAGCGUGAGUGACGGUAAUGGGUAAAGAAGCACCGGCUAACUACGUG